GUUCUCACUUUGGCAGCACAUAACCUAAAAUUGGAAUGACACAGAAAAGGUUACUAUGGCCCCUCUGCAAGGAUGAUAUGCAAAUUCUUGAAGCAUUUCAUAUUUUU
rfam:Ornithorhynchus anatinus chromosome 3, whole genome shotgun sequence.